UGUGUUACUCAAUCUACACUGUAGCAUGCCUGCUUGUAAAUGUGCUUGUAUGAUUAUCUGCUUAUCCAGAAGUUAAAUCCUGAGAACAGGCAGAUAUCGAGAUUGGUAGUGGCGUUCCAGAUAUAAGGACAUCAGGGAAUAUUAAUGAAGCAUUGAUAGAAGCUGGAUUUGAGGUUUUGUGGCAGAAGGAUGUGGCAGCUGGUUCACCUGUACCUUGGUACCUGCCCUUGGACAAUAGUACCUUUUCGUUCAGCAGCUUUCGUGCAGCCGCACCCGGUCGAUUUGUCACGCACUAGUUGGUGAAAUUUCUAGAGUAUAUUCAUAUUGCACCUGAAGGAAGUCACAAAGUGUCAUCCUUCUUGGAGACGGCAGCAAAAGGGCUUGUUCAAGGUGGAAAGUAAGUAACAUCAAAAUUCCCAUAUUCUUCCAACCAUGAUAUCUGUUCUCGACUGUAUACUAUACUCCCACAGGAGUAUUACUGUGCAUCUACUCCGUCACUCAAAACAUCUACUCAGGAGGAUUUCUUCCGUCUUAAAUUUUGGGAACCAAAUUAGCAUCACUAUAUGACUUUUGAGUUUCAAACACUUGGAUCUUGCCCUUCAAAAAAUGAACGACCUAUGUUAAAUCUUGAGUUUUUUUUUUUUUCCUGCUAGUAUUUAGAGAGCUUUGGAUUUUUUUUUUAACUGAGAUUAGUGUAUAUAUUGUAGAGGCCACCUUCGCAAAACUAGGUGUGCUGAAAUUACUCCUGUAGUCAUUGCCCAAGGGAGUAAAUGGAUAAUACGCUCCUGCAGGAGUAUAAAAUCUUUUAGGUUCUGGAUAUGAAGACAUGAUGGUUCGGAAGUUAAGCGUGUUCUGGCGGGUCCACCAAAAAUGGUGCUCAACACAUCUGAAAGACCAGGGCACCCAAAAUUGUUUCACGACCCAUAUUUGACUCAGUUGAUAUUAAGCUCCAAAAAACCUCCACAUCCAUUGAUCUAUUGAAUUGAACGCUCCAUAUUUAAUAUUAAAACCACAGUAGGUUUUGAGGCAUUUGUGCGGCUCCAAAUAUUUCAUCAAUCCAUUAGGGAAAAAGUUAAUGUAAGGUUGCAGCCUGCAACUUCAAAAAAAAAUCUAUAUAAGAUUGUGGCCACACAAUGUAGAAUUAAAGAUCCACCUUAAA